AAGACGGAGGGCGCGAGCGUUGUUCGGAAUUACUGGGCGUAAAGCGCGCGUAGGCGGUUUUCCAAGUCAGGGGUGAAACCCCGGGGCUCAACCCCGGGCCUGCCUCUGAAACUGGGAGACUUGAGUACCCUAGAGGACAGUGGAAUUGCCGGUGUAGCAGUGAAAUGCGUAGAGAUCGGCAGGAACACCAGUGGCGAAGGCGACUGUCUGGGGGGAAACUGACGCUGAGGCGCGAAAGCUGGGGGAGCAAACGGG
rnacentral:rRNA from 1 species